CUCGCGCCGUCGUCGUCGUCGCUCGCUCGGCUCGGCUACGGCUACGGCUACGGCUUCGGAUUUGGAUUUGGAUUUGGAUUUGGUCAAAUGAUUGAUUGAUUAAUUUUUUGGGCCAAAUUUAUUUGUAAAUAGUAAAUAUUAACAGAGUUGUUAUUAAAUAUCCAAUUUUUUGUAAACGGAAUAUUAAUAUUAAAUCCAAACUUAAUAGUAUAUGCCCUUCGCUUUUUGUAAAAGACAUUUACAAAACAGUUUGCACCUCUUUAGAUUUGAAGAACAAUUUGCACCUCUUCAGAUUUGAAGAAACAGUUGGCACCUCUUCGGAUUUGAAGAGUUGCACCUCUUAAGUUUGAGAUCAACAUUAGUUAUAAAUACCAGUCCAUUCUCUCAGAUUUCCAUACGAAUUUCUGACUUCUCCUCCUUUCUUCUGCAUUGUUUUAACUACAAACAAAGCAACAGUAAGUGUGAUUUGGUACCGAUCUUUGUGUUCGCUGAAACACUGGUGUUUAAAGUAUCGCUACACCAGUGUGUAAUUCAUUCUAUCUUGGGAGGAAAUAAUCUACAACCUUGGGUACUAGGAGGGGAUUAAAUUCCUUAAGAAAAUAUUGUGAAUUCAGUGGGCUCGGAUUAAAUUCUAUUUCAUUUAUAUUUCUGUUUAUAUGUUAUUUUAUCUUCUCCAGAAUUAUUUUACAAAUACAGUUCAAUAACAGCACAGUCAAAUAAAAAAUAUAAAACAAGAAAGAGUCUCCAAAACUGCUCAAGUCAUUGAAUGCGGGGAGCAUUAGAUUAAAAGAUUUAGUAUGAACUUACAUGAUCAGUAAUCUUCAAUUAGAAAUUCAAUAUGAGCUUCACAACAAUUUAAGGUAUCUCACUUACAAAGAUGUUAAGCUUCCCACUAAUGUAUUCAGUGGCUUUUUCAAUUACUAGUGUCAUUGAUCGUCUGAUAACAAGAUACAUGUAGACCUUUUUAAUUUAUACCCCUUCUUUUGCUAGUUUCUCCUAACAUUCAUCUAAAUAUUUUUUAUUUCAUGAAUAUGUAUAAAUCAUUGCACCAAAGCUCACAAUUCUUCAACUAUGGCAUGUCUAGUGUAUUAGUAAAGAAGAAGAAUCAGAAGUCAAUGAACACUGUAAAUGAAAUGAAUGAACUCCAAAAUUUCAUAUGAUAGAGAAAACAAAUAAUGGAUAGGUCUUGAAAUGUUGCUUACUCUAUACCCGUAGUACUGCAAUAACAAGGGUAGUUCCUCCAUGGAAUUAACAUCUUUCAGCUCCAUUGUUGCCUACUCCAUCAGUGGUAAAAAAUUUCUAACAAUAGAAAGAAAGAAUUUUACUAUAAUCUUACUCAAAUUAUCAAACGUAUUCUUCUGACCUAUAUUACAUUAUGUUAAAAUAAUUAGAGUCACCAUUCAUUAACCAUUAGCGCCAUCUCGUAAAUUGUACCAAUAUUUCUUAAAUCGAUAUCAUGCUUAAGUAAAGAUCUGAUAAAUCUAAUGUAGUAUUUUUACUUAAAAAGACUUACUUGUCUGUAAAAUGAAGAUUCAUUCAAAAUGAGCGGAUUUUACCCACCAAAGCUCAAGGGUAAUGACAAUAUAGACAGAGGCAACUGUUAAUGAAUAUAUAUUGUAACUGGCUAGCACAAGAGUAAAAGAAUGAUAACACCAAGAGAACAGAAUGGAACCUUAAAGAAAUUUGGUAUGACCAACUGAAUUAAAAUAUAACAAGUAGACCAAGACAAAAAAUAAUAUUUUACAGUUGGCAACAUAAACCAAACUAUUAGCUAAGUUAUCAACAAUUAAAAGGACAAUCAAAUAGAGCUAGAGCAAAAUUUUAGAACUUCACACUUUUGCCCCCAACACCUUGCUUCUUCCCCUCCCAUCCCAUACCCUCCCCUGCCCCCUCCCCUGCCCGAACCAUGAAGACACAGAAGGUACAGUCUAGUAGCACGAGUACCCCAAAUGAUAUCAAGCAUCAACCUAUUCCUACUAUAAAGAGACUAAUUUUACCCCGCAAAACUACAGAAGCAACCAUCGUUCAAACAAAGUGGUGUACAAACUAGAGAAUAUCAGAAUCUAAUUAAUUAGAUUACUCGCACAAUGAGACUAUAAUAAAGAAAGGACCAAAAAUCUCAAGCUUCACCCAAACUGUAUGACUCUAUUGUACCAAAUUAUGACACUUACACUAGAGUCAUCAUCUCCAUCUAGUUCUCAAAGAUAUUCAAGAAAGGAUGAACAUAUACUUAUCUAAUAAGAGAAUACCAAAAAGAGUAUCUCUAACUAAAAUCACUACACUUCCCCAACGCCCAGCCAUGACAUUAACCAAAAAUUCUAGAUCUUCAUUAUCGCAAUUGGCCCAAGAGAUCUUGGUCUCAAAAAGUUGAGAGUCCUAUCAUCACGAGUUGUAGGGUGAGUAAUUUCUAAGAGGAAACAAUACAAACCUAAAUGCCCCAAAAAAGGUAAUAAAGGACGAGUCCGCCAACUCCCAAAAUAUAUAACCAGAUCUGAAAAAAAAUUGGAAUUUUAUUUCGAUCUUUUCUGGGUUUAGGGAAAGUAGGCUUUUUCACAUAUGAUUUACCCAUUUUUUCUCUCGCUGGUAUUCCAGAAAUAGCAUACGAAUUUAUAAUCGGCAAACCCUCGCCACUGUUUCAUAAAUAAAUCACAAAAAUCACAAAAUAUACAUCAUUUAUAAAUUACAUAGAAAAACUAUUUUAACUAGGAAAAAAGAAGAAGAAUUUUUUUGAUAGAUAAGGACUUACAUUUCUUUUGUAGUUUUCGUGCCUAACUCAUCGGCCAUGGAACCAAUGGAGAUCGGAUUUCUAGAAAGUUUUCGUAGAUAUCACCUCCGGAACAAGAGGGCUUACAUGGGUUAGUAGCAUGAAUUAUUAGAUCGAGUAUAUCGAAAAGGGUUUAGGGAUUUGAAGAACCAAAUUUUGACAAACAAGAGAUUUAAUUUGGUAAAAAAGAGAGGUGUUACUUCGGUUAGCGCCUCACUCUCUAGUCUCUCCGCUAAUUUUACACUAGGACCAGAUAUUUACUAUUUUAC
rnacentral:lncRNA from 1 species